GACGAACGCUGGCGGCGUGCUUAACACAUGCAAGUGGAGCGACGAACCGGGGCUUGCCUCGGGGCAGAGCCGCGAACGGGUGAGUAACACGUGGGUUACCUGCCCUGAUGACCGGGACAACCCGUCGAAAGACGGGCUAAUACCGGAUGUGCCCGCAAGGGGAAAGGAGGCGUAAGCUUCCGCAUCGGGAUGGGCCCGCGGAGCAUUAGCUUGUUGGUGAGGUAAUAGCUCACCAAGGCUUCGAUGCUUAGCUGGUCUGAGAGGACGAUCAGCCACACUGGGACUGAGACACGGCCCAGACUCCUACGGGAGGCAGCAGUGGGGAAUCUUGCGCAAUGCACGAAAGUGUGACGCAGCAACGCCGCGUGCGGGAAGACGGCCUGG
rnacentral:rRNA from 1 species